rnacentral:sRNA from 1 species
CCGACUGUCUCGAGCUCUCGGCUUCCUCCUGGUCACACUGGCCUUCCGUCUGCAACUGUGUCUGAUGGCGAGUUGACGGGCGCCGACCUGAAGGACUGCGUCAGCAACAACAGCCUGAGCAGCAAUGCCAGCCUCCCCAGCGUGCAGAGCUGCCGGCGCCUGCGUGAGAGGAGGGUCGCCAGCUGGGCCGUGUCCUUCGAGCGCCUGCUGCAGGACCCCGUCGGUGUCCGCUACUUCUCUG